UAUUAUGAGAGUUUGAUCCUGGCUCAGGACGAACGCUGGCGGCGUGCCUAAUACAUGCA
rfam:Enterococcus thailandicus strain F0711D 46 Ent-16_S35_L001_001_3, whole genome shotgun sequence.